rnacentral:rRNA from 1 species
AGUGAACGCUGGCGGUAGGCCUAACACAUGCAAGUCGAACGGCAGCACAGUAAGAGCUUGCUCUUACGGGUGGCGAGUGGCGGACGGGUGAGGAAUACAUCGGAAUCUACUUUUUCGUGGGGGAUAAUGUAGGGAAACUUACGCUAAUACCGCAUACGACCUACGGGUGAAAGCAGGGGAUCUUCGGACCUUGCGCGAUUGAAUGAGCCGAUGUCGGAUUAGCUAGUUGGCGGGGUAAAGGCCCACCAAGGCGACGAUCCGUAGCUGGUCUGAGAGGAUGAUCAGCCACACUGGAACUGAGACACGGUCCAGACUCCUACGGGAGGCGGCAGUGGGGAAUAUUGGGCAAUGGGCGCAAGCCUGAUCCAGCCAUACCGCGUGGGUGAAGAAGGCCUUCGGGUUGUAAAGCCCUUUUGUUGGGAAAGAAAAGCAGCAGGUUAAUACCCCGCUGUUCUGACGGUACCCAAAGAAUAAGCACCGGCUAACUUCGUG